rnacentral:rRNA from 1 species
AUGUUCAGAACUUUCUUUGAGAAUGUCAGAGUUAAGAUAGCAUGCAGAGAUCCAACCAAGAUUCCUUUUGAGAGACUGAUUGAAAUGAAGAAGAAGCUGUUCUUGCUUGGCUUCACUGUUGAGGGCUUUGAACAAACAGGUGGGGUUGAUUCUGUUAUUGAUGUAGAUGGGGAUGAGGAUGAUUUUGAGGAGGAUGAGAGAGCUGAGGAAGAUCAGAUAGGAGGACAGGGUGAACAUGCUCCUGAUGGGUCAGGUGGUGGUGACCUAGCUAUUGAUGAACUUGACAAAGCCAAUUUCCCAACCAAGCAAAAAAUCAUCAAGCAAGUCUAA